GCAGGUGUUCAUAUGACAAGGAAUUUACCUCGGCGCCGCUGUCAGGAGCUCCUCGAUAUUGGCAUCCAACGGUUGCUGUUCCGGUGGUGAAGCUGCUGCCGGCGUCCACGUCACUGACCUGCUGCUUCUGCCUGGUUUAAAUCAUUUUGGAGAAGGAGCUGAAAGGUGAGAAGUGGGUGUACCGGGAUGCGCUAUCGGUGGGGAACCAGGAGGAGGAGGCGCGGGAGCGGACGUCAUAGGCAACAUCCACGAGUGCCGUGGGGAGGCGCUCUGGUUGCUGCGGAUUGACUACGAGGCCUCCGUCAAGAGCCUGGUAGGAUAACAAGGAGCACUAAACGAGAGCGAUGGGCAUCUUCUUCGACUCCAAGGUGGUUGGGUAUAGGUAAAAUGAGAAAGAAAGUAGAUGAAGAAGACAGAGGAAAGGACCAGAUAGCUAGUAGCUAGGUCAUUUUGCUGUGAUAAUGGUGAGUAGUAGUCGAGAUAAUAUUUGUAGGGAUGAUCAGCAGGUUUCGUAUGCCACGUUUGUGGUAUUUGUAGGAUGGGAUUGCUGGAGCUUUUUGUUGCUAUUGGGCAUCAGUAUUGCCUUAGCUGAAGCAUACGCGGAUUGCUUGGAUGGAAGUUGGAAGACCUGGGGGAAUAGGCAAUGGAUGUGAUGAUAUAUAUACGCCUUGGUUGUUUGAAGAAUCUGUAUGCAGCUUUUGCUUUGUUUCUAGCUGUCAUGAGCAGCGGAGGUUUAAGAAUCUUGUAACUCCUCAUGAAUGUGUUGCGUAUGUAACUGUUGUCCCAGAUUUGGUUGAUGUUUACAGUUUGGUAUCUCUGUUUGAUUAUACCUCUGGCGGAGAUUGAUUGCGUGCGUGGUUUUGAAGUCCUCAAAGUUGAUCAUGUAAUUAAUGAUUGUUGCAUUUCUGUUCCUUUGGCUGUAAAUAUUAGUAAGUCGUAGAUUUGUGAAAAUUGUGAUGUAGCGAGACAGGAUGAUGUGCAAGGAAAUUUCUCA